rnacentral:lncRNA from 1 species
CUCUGUUGCCGGGCUCCUGACCCUGCCCUCCCAUCCCUGCACUACAAGAGGACAGCGGCGACUACAGGAGGCGCCGAAGACGCUGCUGAAGGCCCUAAAGAAACUUCAGCAGAACCGGAACUCCCCUUGCAGGUCCAGCCGCGGGCCCUGCGCCCUCCCGCUCAGCCGAGCGGGGCCGAGGGCGCGUUUGCUGAGUGUCUGGUGGCCUCUACCCAAGCGCCUCUUCAGAGGGCUGUUCCUGCGGCCCAGAGACUGCUUGAGGCGCUCGGGGAAGGAAAAGCAGGCGCUGGUGCGCCGGGGGCUCUGCUGGGGACGGCGCGGAGCUGACUGAAGGGCCGCUGCGGUAGCGCAGGGCGCAGGAGCUGCUCCGCCCCGGAGCGCCGGGAAGGUUGGCGCUGGCAGCCUCCAGCCCCUGCCAGCCGGGCGAGAGCAGGCGGAGAAGGAGGAUGCACCGUCACCUAUGGCUCGCCUCCACCGGCCGGCACGCAAGAUGUGUAUUCUCAUUUUAUGGAAGACAUGUUGCCAGAGUAAAGCACAAUAUAUUCAUCUUGAAAUGUAAUACUGAGAAGAUAUGGAAGUUAUGGAAGUUGUGGCCUUCAGAAUUGACACUUACGGAGAGACUAGAACAGCGUGGGUGAGUUGUGAGGGGCAGGAAGCAUGUCUUAAUGGACUUAACCAAUUUUCGUCAACUAUUCACAGUAAAAUCUUUCAAUGUACAAAAUUUAAUAAUCUGAUAAACAAUAAACAAAAUAUUUGAAUAGGCAUUUUUCAUAAGACGUACAAAGGGCAGACAGGCAUACGAAAAGGUGCUCAACAUUUUUGAUCAUCAGACAAAUGCAAAUCAAAACUACAAUGAGAUAUUACGUGACUCAGUUAAAUGGCUUAUAUCCAAAAGGUAGGCAGUAACAAAUGCUGGAGAGAAGUGGAGAAAGGGAGCCCUUGUAUGCUGUUGACAGGAAUGUAACAUUUUGAAAAUUCUUCAAAACAACUAAAAAUAAAGCUACCAUAUAAUUCAGGAAUGCCACUCCUGAGGAUUCACUUACUAGAAAGGAAAUCCAUACAUUGAAGAGAUAUCUACCCUCCCAUGUUUGUUACAGCAGUGUGCUCCAGCCAAUAUUUGGAAGUAACCUGAUGUCCAUCAAGAAAUGACUGGAUAAAGAAAACAUGGCACAUAUACACAAUGGAAUACUAUUUAGCCAUAAAAAAUAAGAUCCUAUUAUUUGCAACAACAUUGAUGGAACCAUAGAUUAAGUGAAAUAAGCCAGGCACAGAAAAACAAACUUUCCAUGUUCUCACUUAUUUGUCGGAGCUAAAAAUCAAAACAAUAUAACUCAUGUAGGUAGAGGUAGUUGCCAGAGGCUGGGAAGGGCAGUGGGGAAUGUAGGGGACGGUAGGGAUGGUUAAUGAGUACAAAAAAAAAGAAAGAAUUAGUAAGACCUAGUGUUUGAUAGUACAUCUGGGUAACUAUAGUCAAUAAUAAUUUUAAUUGUACAUUUUAUAAUAACGAAAAAAGUAAAAUUAGAUUGGUUGUAACACAAAGAAUAAAUGCCUGAGGGGAUGAUGGAUACCCCAUUUUCCAUGAUGUGAUUAUUUCUUUCUAUGCCUGUAUUAAAGUAUCUCAUAUAUCACAUCAAUAUAUCUCCAACUAAGUACCCACAAAAAUAAAAAAUUUAAACCAAUUCAAAAUGCCAGAAUUUCUAUACAUGAACUAUAAACUACCUGAAAAAGUCAAGUAAACAAUUUUAUUUAUAAUAACUACAAAAAGUUUACUCAUAAAUGUAACCAAAAUGGUGAAAGAUUUCUAUAUUAAAAUUAAAAAACACUGAGUAGAAAAACUUUCUAAAUCACAAAUAAAUGGAAAGAUAUUUCUGGUUCAUUGAUUGGCAGAAUUAAUACUGUUAAAAUGUCUACACUGAGCAAAACAAUCUACAGAUUCAAAGCAGUCUCUUAUCUGUAUACAAAUGAAAUUAUUUAGAAUAUUUCAAAAAUUCUAAAGUUCAUAUGGCAUCACAAAAACACUAAACAGCAACAGAAAUUAAGCACAAAUAAUACAGCUGGAAGCAUUACACUACCUUUGAAAUACACUACAAAGCUUUAGGAAUUGAUACAGUAUGAUAACUGGUUUAAAAAGAGAAACAUAGGUGAAUAAAGCAGAAUGCAGAGCCCAGAAACAAAUUCAUAAAAUUUCAGGAUCUUACACAAAGGUGACAAGAACACACAGUGGGGAAAGGACAGUUACUUCAAAAGUGGUGUUAUGAAAACUGAGUAUCUCCAGGCAGAACAAUGAAAUGAGACCCUCCACCAACAUAAAUCAAAGACUCAAAACUCUGGAACUGCUACAAAAAACAGAGUGAAAGCUCCAUGACAUUGGUGGGGACAAUAAUUUUUUCUUAUUUAUUUCACCUCAAAAUCCCAGCAAACAAAAGUGGAAGUAGACAAAUGAGAUUACUUGAAAACUGAAAAGCUUCUACACAGCACUAGGUACAACCAACAGAAGAAAAAUAACGUAUAAAUAAGAGAAAAUAUUUAUGAGUUAUAUAUCUGACAAAGGGUUACUAUCCAAAAUAGACAGGAAACUCAAACAACUAUAGAACAAUAAACAAGUAACUAUUAAAAUGGGUGAAAGAUGUAAAUAAACAUUUCUUAAAGGAAGACAUACAAAUGGUAAAAAAUAUAUGAAAAAAAUGCGAGGUAACUUAUCAUAAGGCUAAUCUAAGGUUAAGGCUAAUCUAAGGUUAGGACUAAUCUAAACCUCUAUUAGAUAACAACUCACUACUGUUAGAAUGACUAUUAAUAAAAAGCCAAAAAAAUAAUUAUUGGCAAAGAUGUGGAGCAAAGGGAAUGCUUGCGCACUGAAUGUAAAUCAGCGUAGCCAUUAUACAAAACAGUAUGGAGAUUUCUCAAACAUUAAAAGCUGAACUAUCAUAUGAUACAGCAAUAUCAUUAUUGGGCACAUAUCAAAAAAAUCAAGUAUGUGAAAGAGACAUCUGUGCUGUUAUGUUUAUUGCAGCACUAUUCACAAUAGCCAAGAUAUAAAAUCAAACUCAGGGUUUAUUAUCAAAUAAAAUGAUAAAGAACAUGUGGCAUACAUCCAUUCUGUACGAAUGGAUUAUUAUUCAGCCUUAAAAUAGAAAAUACUGUCAUUUUCAAUUACAUGGAUGAACAUGAAGGAGAUUAUGUUAAUUGAAAUAAUGCAGACACAGAAAGACAAAUACCUCAUGAUUUUGCUCAUAUGUGGAAUUUUAAAAAAUUGAUCGCAUUGAAGUAGAGACUAAAAUAGUGGAACGAGAGGCUAAGAUAUUUUGGAAGGGGAUUGGGUAGAUGUCUUUCAAAGAAUAUAUAAUUAGUUAGAUUAAAGGAAUAAGUUAAAAAAAUCUGUUGUAAAGCCUGGUGACUAUAGUUAAUGAUGACAUACUGUUAUGUUUUAAAAAUACUGAUAUAGUCAAUGUUAAGUGUUCUCCAUCACAAAAAUGAUAACUAUAUGAGGUAAAGCACUUGUUAAUUAGCCAGAAUUUAAUAUUACACAAUGUAUGCAUGCUUUAAACCACAUUUUACAUGACAAUACAUAUAAUUUUAUCUGUCAAUUUAAAAAAUGUAGAAACAUGAAAAGGUAGUGUUUCAAAUAAUCAGUCUGUGUCUUAUUCAUAAGCUUAGCAGAGUAGUAUCAAAAUAUAUAGUUUUUGUGAUGUUUUUGUCAUUUCAUUUGUCAGUCAUAAGCAUAGAAACUCAGAUAUUUACCAGCAUGUGCAAGAACCAGCACAGUGCCUGGGAGAAUCCUAU